CGGCUCUCUGAGAGGCCGCCGAGAAGCGAACGGAACGGCCACCAAUGCUUGGAGGCUAGUUUGUUCUCGUCGCCCAGUCCUCCAGGGUGCGUUUGCCUUGAUCGCCCCUCUUGGCUAUUCGACAUGCGUGUAGCACGCGAAAUUGCAGCUGCACCGGGGCCACCCCCCCUUUCCCCGUCUCACGUCCUUUUCCCGUAGUGACCGAUUCCUUGGUGUACACACGCGUGUCAAGGGAAAAGCUUGGAGAGCUUCGUGUUCAACGCGACGACGGUGCUGCUCGCUGAUGGUAGUGGUGGUGGUGGUGGUGGUAGCAGUGGUAGUAGUGGUAGUCGUGGUGGUGGUGGUAGUGGUGACGAUCGGGUCAUGGUGGAUGUUCGCACAGGAUGACCGCUUAUCAUGGAACACGGUGGAAAAAACGAUGACACCAGGUAUUUGUUACAUCGAAAUUACGCAGCCAAUAUAUCGUACUUGGUACGGCACAGGUGACCGAGACUAUGUGCGCGCGCGGAUGGAACACUUAGGCCCCAUUACGUCCAACCGAACCACUUUAACAUCCCGAUGACACUCGAUGAUUGUAUCUGUACUUACGCUUUUGGAUCGCCGUGUUACGUGGCUCACUGACAUUGAUAAGGAGGUCUGUUGGUUCGCUAUAGCGUGCGAAAAAGGGGACACUUCACUUCCACCGUGAAACAUCGGUGGCACCCUUGAAUACUAAUUUUGAACUGGUUACGCUCGAGAACGAACAGUCACGAAAGGUCUUAGAGUCAAAGGAGCAUAAGCGGAGAGAAGAUGAUCAGGAAACGGGUGCUCCGAUGGUAAAGGUUAUGGUAAUCGAUAAUCGAUGGUAGACAAUGUUCCAAGGACGAACAGACUACGAGAAUUCCCAAAGGAAAUGUAAAAAAUAACGAGGAAAUAUCUGUUACCAACCGUCGCGUGAAACGAUGAUAUUGCUGUGACGCCUGUCACUGUUGGUUGGUCGUUCUGUUGACUCAACCAAUAGUCCUGCGUGCGUCCGUUCAGAGAGAGGACCGAUAACGAUUGUGUCACAGGACGCACGAACUCGUUAUCCUGGACAUCGCUCAACACGAUUUAACUCUCAUACUCUCAGAUAAUCCCACGAAUUAACUUUUCAAAGGAUACUCGUCUGCCUUCGAUUUAUUCCGCUGGUUGAUCGGCGUGCAACUACGUGUAAUUAUCGCUUCACGCUACGCCAUUCGAUCGUUACGGUGUCCCGAUUGCAACAAGGUGUUGCGCUCAUCAAUGUACUUACAUUACAAUCUUGCGCGAGAACUCCGCUCGUCCACGUUGGGAAACGUAGCGUAUACGUAACGUAUUCCACGGAAGUCACUGUAUCUCGUUACUCGACACGGCGAAUCGAGUACGCGUGAAGAUGGAAAGAGAUCGAAUCGCGAAAGCGAUGAAGGUGAUUCGAACAGGCGAUGGUUGUACGCAACCAUGAUCAGAACGAAUCAACGAUCAUCGACGAAGAUUACGAACGUGGUAACUCUGAACAGACUGAACGAAAAUCGAAGGCUCGGCUAGCCGGACGUCCCGUAGAUGAUGAAGCGAACAGGAAAAGGGAACGUCAGCAAGUAGCAUCGGUUCCACCGUGAAAAUAAUUAAUCACGUCACCGAUAAGAACGUCGAACGCUGACAGACGCGGAUUGCUUUCACGAGGCAUCGGUUAUAUCGUCCCUCGGAGGGAAACGGUUAUGCCAGAUCGGCAUGCCAUCGAGAAUAUGCGAGACUAAUGGUUGGCUACCUGAACGAAAGAAAAGGAAACGUACAAGUGGAAACUUUGUGUUGGUCAGAAAUCGGCGUUACCGAUCUGGAAAAGUGACGGGUCACGCGUACGCCAUGGCUUCGAUCGGCGUCGUGCGCUCGGAUACUUCUUUGUUCCUCCUUCAGGGAGAGGGAUCUCCUCUCUUGGAGAUCAGAGAGAGGCAGAUUGAGACACUCGCGGCUACCUGAUCGUCGAUAGAGAACGAAUGGUAAAAUGAACAGCCAUGUGCACUGCGGAGGGGCCACAAACCGAACAGAUAAGAAUCAUUUUUCAAAGGCGUGUUACCGGGAACGCGCGACGGAAGGGAGAGAAGAGUCACGUUUUAUGAUAAAUGAACAGCAAAGUCUGUGGAUGCCGAUUUUCCAAGCAGGAGAUGUCCUUGAGGGAAUUGGUGAAUAUGAAAAAUGAAUGAACAGAGACCGGACAAGCCGUGAAUCGUUGUCAUUGAAUUUUUGCCCGGAAACCGAGACCGAGUAGAUGUUGCCGUCCCUGGCGAAGCACGUCAACUCGGCGGCGAGAGGCACACGGCAAUGGCAGCAACGAAGGCAGCCGCAGUGCCACGCGCGAUCCGCAGCCUUUAGGUACCAUCGUUCGGCUAUCUCUCUGCCGCAACCCCCGCAACCGAGGCCACCAUCGGAGUUGUUGUUCUCACCGGUGCCGAUCUGUCGAUUGCUGAUGGCACCAUCCCCUGGCGGGGGUGUGCUGCUCCCACAGCCCACUUCCUUCAGCAUCUCGAGGAGAAUCGCCGCGACCACCGGCGCAUUCUGGGACAAACGUAGUUGCGUCUUCAGUUCGGAGCAUGGAAUUAUUGCAGUUUCAGGGAAACAUUCCACAUUACCAAUGGCGAAUAGCCUUCAUCCCAUUCACGUUUAUCACUGGUGCAUCGCAUCAUCGAUGGCUUGACCGUUUCGCGGUCGCAAAUCCAAGGUUUUACCUUUGUGUGUAUCGGUUGGCUGGGUCCUCGUACAUAAUCGUGACCGCAGAAUGGUUCCGGAGCGUCAUAUCCUUCGGCACGAUUAAAGAACCGACGACUUUAAUCCCGGACGAGUGUCCACGGGAACGCUGGGAAUACGAUUCCAGCAUAAAGCGACGACUUUAUGGUUAUUCGACGUACGAUUCGCUGACGGGUUCACUUUGUGGAAGACAACGGGGCUGGAAGGAAGAGGAACAGGGAGGCGGAGGAAGACGAUGACGAGGAGGAGAACGAGGACGACUCACGAAGGACGACAAAACGCAGCAGCCACGCCGGUUUUGCUACCUGAACGCUUGCUCCCAGCGAGAGCUUUCUUUCAUCUAACGGGUGACGCGUUGUGAAUUGAAAUAUUUGACAUUUUAAAGUAAGAAGUAAUUCGCUUCGUUUUUCAAUUCUCCACAACAAUUCAUGUUCAGUUCUGCCACUUCAAGAAUUUUUCAAUUUCGGUGUUUUAUUAUUUGGAAAAUCAGAUUUGAUAUGGUACAGAACUUUUGGUUUAUUGAAUUCUGUCUGUGUUCGUUCAGUUAAUUUUGUUUGUUCCUGUCGAUAUCUUUCUCGAUAUUAUUCGGCUUGUUUAUUCUUUCUUGUUCAACUAAUCUUUAGAAUCGUAUGCAACAAAAUUUCUUUUUUAUUUUAUCGCUAAUAAUAGGACAUUAUUUUUCCUGAUGUUUGCGUAAAGAAGACAUUAUGCAGCAAAGUAGAUAGAUUUCUUUUUAAACAAUAUUUUUUACUGCUUUCUUAAAAUAGUAUGUCUCUAAUUUAUUCAGUUAAUGCGGUAAAUUUAUAAUAAUUAUACUUCAUAGUACUCUUAUUUUUGAACUGCAUUAGCGAACAAAUUUCUCUUUGGGCUAAUCCAUUUGUUAUUUCGCUAAAGAUAGAGAUGGUUACUGUAAGGGAAUUUGCUGUAUCUAGUGGCUUUCCAUGGAAUCCCUUCUUGAUUGCAUGAACUGACUGUUAACGUAGCGCAGAAAUAGCGGAGAAACAUUUCAGAAAUAAACUGUGAACUUCACCGUCAGGUGUAGCCAUGAA